UACGUAGGGUGCAAGCGUUGUCCGGAAUUAUUGGGCGUAAAGAGCGUGUAGGCGGCCAGGUAGGUCUGCUGUGAAAACUCGAGGCUCAACCUCGAGACGUCGGCGGAAACCAUCUGGCUAGAGUCCGGAAGAGGAGAGUGGAAUUCCUGGUGUAGCGGUGAAAUGCGUAGAUAUCGUAAGGAAGACCAGUGGCGAAGGCGGGUCUCUGGACAGUUCCUGACGCUGAGGCACGAAGGCCAGGGGAGCAAACGGGG
rnacentral:rRNA from 1 species